GAUGAACGCUGGCGGCGUGCCUAAUACAUGCAAGUCGAGCGAACAGACGAGGAGCUUGCUCCUCUGACGUUAGCGGCGGACGGGUGAGUAACACGUGGAUAACCUACCUAUAAGACUGGGAUAACUUCGGGAAACCGGAGCUAAUACCGGAUAAUAUAUUGAACCGCAUGGUUCAAUAGUGAAAGACGGUUUUGCUGUCACUUAUAGAUGGAUCCGCGCCGCAUUAGCUAGUUGGUAAGGUAACGGCUUACCAAGGCAACAAUGUGUAGCCGACCUGAGAGGGUGAUCGGCCACACUGGAACUGAGACACGGUCCAGACUCCUACGGGAAGCAGCAGUAGCGAAUCUUCCGCAAUGGGCGAAAGCCUGACGGAGCAACGCCGCGUGAGUGAUGAAGGUCUUCGGAUCGUAAAACUCUGUUAUUAGGGAAGAACAAAUGUGUAAGUAACUAUGCACGUCUUGACGGUACCUAAUCAGAAAGCCACGGCUAACUACGUG
rnacentral:rRNA from 1 species